UAUGGGCGAGAGCCUGAACCAGCCANCNAGCGUGAAGGAUGACUGGGGGUNUUCNNNNUGUAAANGGNNNAAAAAAAGGAAUAAAGUCGGGUAUGGAUUNCCCUUUGCAUGGNGNNAAAGAAUAAGGAUCGGAGUAACUCCGUGCCAGCAGCCGCGGUAAUACGGAGGAUCCGAGCGUUAUCCGGAUUUAUNGGGUUUAAAGGGAGCGUAGAUGGAUGUUUAAGUCAGUUGUGAAAGUUUGCGGCUCAACCGUAAAAUUGCAGUUGAUACUGGAUAUCUNGAGUGCAGUUGAGGCAGGCGGAAUUCGUGGUGUAGCGGUGAAAUGCUUAGAUAUCACGAAGAACUCCGAUUGCGAAGGCAGCUCACUAGACUGUUACUGACACAGGAUGCUCGAAAGUGUGGGUAGCAAACAGGAUUAGAUACCCUGGUAGUCCAAGGGCGAAUUC
rnacentral:rRNA from 1 species